rnacentral:tRNA from 1 species
GGAGAGAUACCCAAGUGGCCAACGGGGGCAGACUGUAAAUCUGCUGGCUUUUGCCUUCGGAGGUUCAAAUCCUCCUCUCUCCA